GGGAAUCUGCCCCUUGGUUCGGAAUAACAGUUGGAAACGACUGCUAAUACCGGAUGAUGACGUAAGUCCAAAGAUUUAUCGCCGAGGGAUGAGCCCGCGUAGGAUUAGGUAGUUGGUGUGGUAAAGACGCACCAAGCCGACGAUCCUUAGCUGGUCUGAGAGGAUGAUCAGCCACACUGGGACUGAGACACGGCCCAGACUCCUACGGGAGGCAGCAGUGGGGAAUAUUGGACAAUGGGCGAAAGCCUGAUCCAGCAAUGCCGCGUGAGUGAUGAAGGCCUUAGGGUUGUAAAGCUCUUUUACCCGGGAUGAUAAUGACAGUACCGGGAGAAUAAGCUCCGGCUA
rnacentral:rRNA from 1 species